ACACAGAGAUAGCUCAGUUGGUAGAGCACGAGACUCUUAUUCUCAGAGUCAUGGGUUCAAGUCUCAUGCUGGGUG